GCCAUCUUUUGGUCAUCGUCAGUGUCCUACAAAUAAUAGGAGAUAAGCGUAUUGAACAAACUGUUUAAUUAAUUGCUCAUUGAGUUUGAUGAACGGUUGCCGAAAUCCUUGAUCGGACACGUGAGAUUGAUCUCAUACAUCCAGAUUCAAACGUUCCAGAAACCAAAAGAUGUGUAAGUAGGCCACUUUUAGUAAGUGGUCACCACACCGUCAAUACGUUGCCAACCUUGGAAUUUAAGAUGUUAUAUCCGUUGCGGUUUUAAUAACACGUGCUCAUCGAUCUAUUAAACAUGGAAUAUGUGUAUAAAUAAUAUUCCUGUUUAGUGGGAGAAUGAGUGGAUUUUAUACGAGCAAGCGAGCUUUCGGGUGACCCGAUGUUCAAUGAUUAUGGAUAUUUGCAAAGCCAGGGGCAUUGCCUAUGCGUCGUCGGCAUUUGAGGUAUUAUCUGCUUCUAGAAAAGUCCAAAAAUAAUAUUAUAGUUUAUUUUAUGUUAUUAUACAAACAAGGACUGUCUUAAACAAAGCCAUACUAUAAUUUUUUAUGUUA